GGUUUCACUGUGCAGUUAGGCUGGCCUUGCUCUCACUUUGUAGCCCAGGCUGGUCUUGAACUCACAACAAUCCUCCUGCCUCAGCCUCCUGAGUGCUGGGAUUACAGGCAUGUGCUACCA
rnacentral:miRNA from 1 species